UCCGUAGGCGGUGCGGCAAGUCGGAAGUGAAAUCUCUGGGCUUAACUCAGAGGCUGCUUCCGAAACUGCCGUGCUCGAGUGUGAGAGAGGCGAGUGGAAUUACGGGUGUAGCGGUGAAAUGCGUAGAUAUCCGUAGGAACAUCCGAGGCGAAAGCGGCUCGCUGGAUCACAACUGACGCUGAGGGACGAAAGCUAGGGGAGCAAACAGGAUUAGAUACCCUGGUAGUCCUAGCCCUAAAUCAUCAGGACUUGGGGUUUGCCCUGUACGGGGCAAGUCCCGGAGCUAACGCGUUAAGUCCUGCGCCUGGGGAGUACGGUCGCAAGGCUGAA
rnacentral:rRNA from 1 species